CGCUAUCACUCCUACGGGAGGCAGCAGUGGGGAAUAUUGCACAAUGGGCGCAAGCCUGAUGCAGCCAUGCCGCGUGUGUGAAGAAGGCCUUCGGGUUGUAAAGCACUUUCAGUCGUGAGGAAGGUAGUGUAGUUAAUAGCUGCAUUAUUUGACGUUAGCGACAGAAGAAGCACCGGCUAACUCCGUGCCAGCAGCCGCGGUAAUACGGAGGGUGCGAGCGUUAAUCGGAAUUACUGGGCGUAAAGCGCAUGCAGGCGGCCUGUUAAGUCAGAUGUGAAAGCCCGGGGCUUAACCUCGGAAUUGCAUUUGAAACUGGCAGGCUAGAGUCUUGUAGAGGGGGUAGAAUUUCAGGUGUAGCGGUGAAAUGCGUAGAGAUCUGAAGGAAUACCAGUGGCGAAGGCGGCCCCCUGGACAAAGACUGACGCUCAGAUGCGAAAGCGUGGGGAGCAAACAGGAUUAGAUACCCUGGUAG
rnacentral:rRNA from 1 species